CGCAGCCGCGGUAAUUCCAGCUCCAAUAGCGUAUAUUAAAGUUGUUGCAGUUAAAAAGCUCGUAGUUGAACUUCGGGGUUUACUCAUUGGUCAGGCUUAAUUGUCUGUACUGGUGAGAUGAAUCUCUACCUUCUGAGGAACUUUCAUGCCAUUUAUUUGGUGUGAUUGGAAAUCAGGACUGUUACUUUGAAAAAAUUAGAGUGUUUAAAGCAGGCUAACGUCUGAAUACAUUAGCAUGGAAUAAUGAAAUAGGACGGAUUGAUUCUAUUUCGUUGGUUUCUAGGGUCACCGUAAUGAUUAAUAGGGAUAGUUGGGGGCAUUAGUAUUCAAUUGUCAGAGGUGAAAUUCUUGGAUUUAUUGAAGACUAACUACUGCGAAAGCAUUUGUCCAAGGAUGUUUUCAUUAAUCAAGAACGAAAGUUAGGGGAUCGAAGACGAUCAGAUACCGUCGUAGUCUUAACCAUAAACUAUGCCGACUAGGGAUCGGAUGAUGUAAUUUUUUAAUGACUCAUUCGGCGACC
rnacentral:rRNA from 1 species